GGCGAGGGCGGCCCAGCCAGGCCGUAGUGCUCCAAGAGCACUGCCGCUAAGGCCGCGGCCGCCAGCCCGGCGACCACCCUGACGGCCAGCGCUGCGACCAUUCCCGCCGGGGCGCGGCACGCGAGUGCGGGGCCGGGUCAGGGACCGGCCGGGACCGAGCGGUGCCCACCGGGAGCUGCUUUGGCCGCACUUCCGGACUCUAUGGUCGCGGGGCCUACGGCGCCGGUCUGGCCAGCCGGCGCUGGCACCUGCGCCUGGCUGUGUACCUGCAAGCCGCCCGCGGCUCUGGGCUCGGUUUGCUAAUGCAAUGCGGGUACCUUUGGAAUUCAAGACAUUGAUCUAAGCAGAAAACAUAAAGAAACAUAAUGUGCACAGGGAAGCCGACAUUUCAGCAACAACUGGACACUGUCCCUGGUGGUCUAUUGGCUAGGAUUCAGCACUCUAACUGACACGGCCUGACUUCAGUCUCUGGAUGAGGAAACAAAAUCCUGCUUCAAGCCACUACAGGCCUAGGCCACCCAAGAUCAAGGACACAGCAAGAAGUCAGCAGUCUGCAACCUGGAAGAGUGUCUUCACCAGAACCUGACCACACUGGCACCCUGAUCUUACACUUCCAGCCUCCAGAACAGUGAGAAAUAAAUUUC